CAAAGAUUUAUUUACUGUGAUGUGUGUGCUGACGUCAGUAGAUUAUAAUCCAGUAAAAUAUCAGCAUGCUUUAAAUAAUUAGUAGUUCAUGUGAUCAAAC